GUAGCUGGUCUGAGAGGAUGRCCAGCCACACUGGAACUGAGACACGGUCCAGACUCCUACGGGAGGCAGCAGUGGGGAAUAUUGGACAAUGGGGGCAACCCUGAUCCAGCAAUGCCGCGUGUGUGAAGAAGGCCUGAGGGUUGUAAAGCACUUUCAGUGGGGAGGAGGAUUGAUAGGUUAAGAGCURAUUAAUUGGACGUUACCCACAGAAGAAGCACCGGCUAACUCCGUGCCAGCAGCCGCGGUAAUACGGAGGGUGCGAGCGUUAAUCGGAAUUACUGGGCGUAAAGGGUGCGUAGGUGGUUUAUUAAGUUAUCUGUGAAAUCCCUGGGCUUAACCUGGGCAGGUCAKAUAAUACUGGUUAACUCGAGUAUGG
rnacentral:rRNA from 1 species